ACUCCUACGGGAGGCAGCAGUAGGGAAUUUUGGACAAUGGGGGAAACCCUGAUCCAGCCAUGCCGCGUGAGUGAAGAAGGCCUUCGGGUUGUAAAGCUCUUUCAGCCGGAACGAAACGGUCACGGCUAAUACCUGUGACUACUGACGGUACCGGAAGAAGAAGCACCGGCUAACUACGUGCCAGCAGCCGCGGUAAU
rnacentral:rRNA from 1 species